CAAGGACAUAUGUGGAAACUUCAUUUGUAAAUGGGUGAUAUGCGUCCGAAUAUUCAUUCAUGUUUAACACCUUGGAGAACAGAUACCCUGA